AAGAUCUGCAGUCCAUUUCCUCUCCUUUGGAGAGACUGGGCCUGCCAGCUACUCGUGACUGUUGCCUGGGCAAUGGCUGGGGAAUUAUGAGGAAUGCUUGGAAACGAUAUCCUUCUGUUGGGCUCAUGGAUGGGGAUCAUUAUGGACUUGGAAAAGC